GGGUCAAUGAUGACAUAACCUGUCUCGAAGAGAGAUGAUGACCUCAAAAUCGUGCUCAGUGGGUUUAUGCUGAGGCCC
ensembl:snoRNA SNORD115 Small nucleolar RNA SNORD115